CAACCAAGCACUGGAUGCUGCUGUGCUAAUGUGGUGACACAGGAACACAGACAUGGAUGGGCCUUACUGAAAUACGAGGCAGAGGAAACAAGGGCAGGGUGUGGUGCUGAGUUGUGGACCCAUUAGGGACCAGCUUUUUAUAACAGGCAGGCCAGCUGCUGGCUCCGCCUCAUUUCCUCCAAGAAGACUGGUGGGCACUGAAGAAACUUCAUCUUGAGUCAAUGGCAACGAUGGCCACUGAACAACCCUGCCCUUCACCUCAACUGCUACAAAGUAUUCCAGACCAUGGACAAGAGGACAGUGGAAUCAACUUUCCCCAUGUUGGGUCAAUGGUCAAAGAGGUACCAAGUUCCAUACAGCCUGGACUUCGAUGGAGCAACCAGAUACCCCAGGACUUGGCAGCAUCCCAGCUUUCUCAGGUCCUCCAAAGAUGGUCAACACCCUCCAUGUUAGCAGGAAGCAGUCUUGAGACUUCGACGCCCUUAUUCCUUAAUCUGCCAUGUCUAACACCCCACCUUUUUAAUAAUAAGUAAAGGUGGGAUUGAAAGGUUCAGGCAUUAUGCUGGCCUGCCCCUGUCACCUGGCAGAAUCCACUCAGGCAGCACCCUGGUCAUCCCAGGGUUCCAUGGGAACUAAGUCUGCACACAGGUAUAGAGGACCCCUU
rnacentral:lncRNA from 1 species